GGGAAUGCGGCGGAAAUGAUCAGCCAUGCCGCGUGCAGGAAGACUGCCCUAUGGGUUGUAAACUGCUUUUGUACAGGAAGAAACCUUUCCACGUGUGGAGAGCUGACGGUACUGUAAGAAUAAGCAUCGGCUAACUCCGUGCCAGCAGCCGCGGUAAUACGGAGGAUGCAAGCGUUAUCCGGAAUCAUUGGGUUUAAAGGGUCCGUAGGUGGAUUGGUCAGUCAGAGGUGAAAUCCUGCAGCUCAACUGUAGAACUGCCUUUGAUACUGCCGGUCUUGAAUUAUUGUGAAGUGGUUAGAAUAUGUAGUGUAGCGGUGAAAUGCAUAGAUAUUACAUAGAAUACCGAUUGCGAAGGCAGAUCACUAACAAUAUAUUGACACUGAUGGACGAAAGCGUGGGGAGCGAAUGGGAUUAGAUACCCCCUGUAGUCAA
rnacentral:rRNA from 1 species